GUCUACGGCCAUACCACCCUGAACACGCCCGAUCUCGCCCCAUCUCGUCUGAUCUCAGAAGCUAAGCAGGGUUGGGCCUGGUUAGUACUUGGAUGGGAGACUUCAAAGGUGGCAUCUCUGAACA
ensembl:rRNA 5S_rRNA 5S ribosomal RNA